GGUCCUAUAGUGUAGUGGUUAUCACAGCGGAUUCUGAUGAUCCUUCAUGGAAGUCGUGAUAUCAGCAUUCCGCUAACGCAGGUUCGAGUCCUGCUAGGACCU
rfam:Schizophyllum commune H4-8 unplaced genomic scaffold SCHCOscaffold_10, whole genome shotgun sequence.